UACUACUUAAUGUUGACAAUAAAGGAUG
rnacentral:sRNA from 1 species